UACGGGGGGGGCAAGCGUUGUUCGGAAUUACUGGGCGUAAAGGCUCGUAGGCGGCCAACUAAGUCGGACGUGAAAUCCCCAGGCUCAACCUGGGAACUGCGUCCGAUACUGGAUGGCUUGAAUCCGGGAGAGGGAUGCAGAAUUCCAGGUGUAGCGGUGAAAUGCGUAGAUAUCUGGAGGAAUACCGGUGGCGAAGGCGGCAUCCUGGACCGGCAUUGACGCUGAGGAGCGAAAGCCAGGGGAGCAAACGGG
rnacentral:rRNA from 1 species